rnacentral:SRP_RNA from 1 species
GCCGGGCGUAGUGGCGGGCGCCUGUAGUCCCAGCUACUCGGGAGGCUGAGGCAGGAGAAUGGCGAGAACCUGGGAGGCGGAGCUUGCAGUGAGCCGAGAUCGCACCACCGCACUCCAGCCUGGGUGACUGAGCAAGACUCCGUCUCAAAAAAAAAAAAAAAAAAAAAAAAAUGAAUUAACUUUUUUUUUUUGGGGGAUGGAGUUUCGUUCUUGUUGCUCAGACUGGAGUGCAAUGGGGUGGUCUUGGCUCACUGCAACCUCCACCUUCCAGGUUCAAGUGAUUCUCCUGCCUCAG